UAGGUUACAGUUGGAGAAAAAUCAGAAAUAUUAUCGAAUUAGAAACAUGAAGUUACACUUGUAAUAGACUUCAGAGAUCAUUUGGGUCUUUCACUGAGAAUCAGGAACUUGAGGAUUAAGCUGACCAACAGUAUGCCAAAAAGUCAGGACUGAGCAGGAAACAGCCCUCACUAAUGCUGGAAGAUGUCUCCAGCAUUAUUCACACCACAGCCUGAGCUAAACACCAGACUGAACAUGGGAGACAGCAAGAAGUAGUUGGGAGACAGAGAGGAGCCCUGCUGGGGCAGGGGAGAAAAACAGCCAUUGUGUCAAAAGUCCAGAGGCUUCUGGGAUCUUGAUGCAACUGGCAGUAUCAGUUCCC